GUGAGGAAUAUUGGUCAAUGGUCGAGAGACUGAACCAGCCAAGUCGCGUGAGGGAAGGAGGGUCUAUGGCCUGUAAACCUCUUUUCUCGAGGAAGAAUAAACGGCACGAGUGCCGUCUUGCCAGUACUCGAGGAAUAAGCAUCGGCUAACUCCGUGCCAGCAGCCGCGGUAACACGGGGGAUGCGAGCGUUAUCCGGAUUUAUUGGGUUUAAAGGGCGCGUAGGCGGGACGUCAAGUCAGCGGUAAAAGACUGCAGCUAAACUGUAGCGCGCCGUUGAAACUGUCGUUCUAGAGACGAGACGAGGGAGGCGGAACAAGUGAAGUAGCGGUGAAAUGCAUAGAUAUCACUUGGAACCCCGAUAGCGAAGGCAGCUUUCCAGGCUCGAUCUGACGCUGAUGCGCGAGAGCGUGGGUAGCGAACAGGA
rnacentral:rRNA from 1 species